CUAUACUGCAAGUCGAGCGAAUGGAUUAAGAGCUUGCUCUUAUGAAGUUAGCGGCGGACGGGUGAGUAACACGUGGGUAACCUGCCCAUAAGACUGGGAUAACUCCGGGAAACCGGGGCUAAUACCGGAUAACAUUUUGAACCGCAUGGUUCGAAAUUGAAAGGCGGCUUCGGCUGUCACUUAUGGAUGGACCCGCGUCGCAUUAGCUAGUUGGUGAGGUAACGGCUCACCAAGGCAACGAUGCGUAGCCGACCUGAGAGGGUGAUCGGCCACACUGGGACUGAGACACGGCCCAGACUCCUACGGGAGGCAGCAGUAGGGAAUCUUCCGCAAUGGACGAAAGUCUGACGGAGCAACGCCGCGUGAGUGAUGAAGGCUUUCGGGUCGUAAAACUCUGUUGUUAGGGAAGAACAAGUGCUAGUUGAAUAAGCUGGCACCUUGACGGUACCUAACCAGAAAGCCACGGCUAACUACGUGCCAGCAGCCGCGGUAAUACGUAGGUGGCAAGCGUUAUCCGGAAUUAUUGGGCGUAAAGCGCGCGCAGGUGGUUUCUUAAGUCUGAUGUGAAAGCCCACGGCUCAACCGUGGAGGGUCAUUGGAAA
rnacentral:rRNA from 1 species